rnacentral:rRNA from 1 species
ACCAGACUCCUACGGGAGGCAGCAGUGGGGGAUAUUGGACAAUGGGGGAAGCCCUGAUCCAGCGACGCCGCGUGAGUGAAGAAGUAUUUCGGUAUGUAAAGCUCUGUCAGCAGGGAAGAAAGAAAUGACGGUACCUGACCAAGAAGCCCCGGCUAACUACGUGCCAGCAGCCGCGGUAAUACGUAGGUGGCAAGCGUUAUCCGGAUUUACUGGGUGUAAAGGGCGUGUAGGCGGGAAAGCAAGUCAGAUGUGAAAACCAUGGGCUCAACCUGUGGCCUGCAUUUGAAACUGUUUUUCUUGAGUACUGGAGAGGCAGACGGAAUUCCUAGUGUAGCGGUGAAAUGCGUAGAUAUUAGGAGGAACACCAGUGGCGAAGGCGGUCUGCUGGACAGCAACUGACGCUGAGGCGCGAAAGCGUGGGGAGCAAACAGGAUUAGAUACCCCUGUA